UACGUAGGUGACAAGCGUUGUCCGGAUUUACUGGGCGUAAAGAGCGCGCAGGCGGUCGUUCAAGUCGAGUGUGAAAGCCCCCGGCUCAACUGGGGAGGGUCACUCGAUACUGAUCGACUCGAAGGCAGGAGAGGGUAGUGGAAUUCCCGGUGUAGUGGUGAAAUGCGUAGAUAUCAGGAAGAACACCGAUGGCGAAGGCAGCUCUCUGGGACGGUACUGACGCUGAGACGCGAAAGCGUGGGGAGCGAACAGG
rnacentral:rRNA from 1 species